GCGUACCUUUUGUAUAAUGGGUCAGCGACUUAUAUUCUGUAGCAAGGUUAACCGAAUAGGGGAGCCGGAGGGAAACCGAGUCUUAAUUGGGCGUUAAGUUGCAGGGUAUAGACCCGAAACCCGGUGAUCUAGCCAUGGGCAGGUUGAAGGUUGGGUAACACUAACUGGAGGACCGAACCGACUAAUGUUGAAAAAUUAGCGGAUGACCUGUGGCUGGGGGUGAAAGGCCAAUCAAACCGGGAGAUAGCUGGUUCUCCCCGAAAGCUAUUUAGGUAGCGCCUCGUGAAUUCAUCUCCGGGGGUAGAGCACUGUUUCGGCUAGGGGGCCAUCCCGGCUUACCAACCCGAUGCAAACUGCGAAUACCGGAGAAUGUUAUCACGGGAGACACACGGCGGGUGCUAACGUCCGUCGUGAAGAGGGAAACAACCCAGACCGCCAGCUAAGGUCCCAAAGUCAUGGUUAAGUGGGAAACGAUGUGGGAAGGCCCAGACAGCCAGGAUGUUGGCUUAGAAGCAGCCAUCAUUUAAAGAAAGCGUAAUAGCUCACUGGUCGAGUCGGCCUGCGCGGAAGAUGUAACGGGGCUAAACCAU
rnacentral:rRNA from 1 species